rnacentral:rRNA from 1 species
AUUGAACGCUGGCGGCAUGCUUUACACAUGCAAGUCGAACGGUAACAGGCCUUCGGGUGCUGACGAGUGGCGAACGGGUGAGUAAUGCAUCGGAACGUACCCAGAGGUGGGGGAUAACGCAGCGAAAGCUGUGCUAAUACCGCAAGUGAUCUGAGGAUGAAAGCGGGGGACCGAGCAGCAAUGUUUGGCCUCGCGCCUUUGGAGCGGCCGAUGUCGGAUUAGCUAGUUGGUGGGGUAAAGGCCUACCAAGGCGACGAUCCGUAGCUGGUCUGAGAGGACGACCAGCCACACUGGGACUGAGACACGGCCCAGACUCCUACGGGAGGCAGCAAUGGGGAAUUUUGGACAAUGGGCGCAAGCCUGAUCCAGCAAUGCCGCGUGCGGGAAGAAGGCCUUCGGGUUGUAAACCGCUUUUGGCAGGAACGAAACGGUGUCCGCUAAUACCGGGCGCUAAUGACGGUACCUGCAGAAUAAGCACCGGCUAACUACGUG